GAGUCCCGGAGCGGUGAGCGGCGCCGUCGGGACCCUCGGCCUGCGCGGCAGGAAGAGGCGGCCACCGCGGAACCACGCACCGCUCAGGUCCCGAACUUUUUAACUCCCCGCGGCGCCUGGCGCUCACCGCACCCCCUGUGUCCCGGCUCAGGCGCCCCCGCGUCGCACCCUUGGGCCCAGGCGCCCGCAGGCGCCAAAACAGGUUGUGUGACCUGGCGCCGCCGCUCGGGCUCCGCGCGCGCCCCCGCGCCGCCCCGCAGCCUCCCCCGCCGCGCGCUCGCACCCGGCCGCACGUGCGCCCCUCCAGUCUCCCCCGAACCCGGGGCUCCGCGCCCUCCCAACCCGCCUCCUGCCCGCUCUCUCGAGUCCCCGUAAACUUCCUUCGGGCCUUAAGGCCCAGGAGCCUCGCAGAGACCUUCCGAGCGGAGGGAGCGGCCCGCGAGCCCCAAGCGCUGUGGCCCAAGCUGGGGGGAGGUGCAGCGGGGGGCGAUCUGUCCGUGUUCACCGAGGCCUCCGCGCGCGGCGGGGGUGUCCCCGCGCAGCCCUGGAGCUGCAGCGCCCCCUCGGCCGAGCCGGAGGCUCCCGGGUGUCCGAGUCGGGUAGGGGGUGGGGUCGGGGCCCGCGGGUCCCGGCAGCGAAGGGAGGGGCGGCGGCACCUUUGUGGCGGAUGCUGCGCUUCCAGUCCUUGGCCGUCUCGCGGCCGCUGACGAACUGGAACUCGUUGGGCGUGAGCCACUCGCCGCGGUGGCGGAUGGACGGGCCCUUGCUGCCCUGGCAGAGUUUGCGCACGUAGAGCAGCGCGCGGUUGGCGCCGCACUCCACCUCGAUGCACGGCUCGCCGUUGUCCAGCAGCGGCUGGAAAUCCGGGGCCGCGGCCGCGGUGGCCGAGAAGCGCUCGAGGGCCAGCGGGUCCCUGGGCAGGUGGAGGUGCGGGGCGGCCUCGUGCAGGCUGAGGUAGGCGCGCGGGGGGCGGAGCGGCGGGGCCAGCAGAGCCUCGUAACCGGCGGCCGAGGCGGGCAGCGAGGCGGCCGGGGGGAGGGCGGCCGCCGCGGGCAGUGGCGCCAGGUAGCCUGGCAGCGGCGGCAGCGGCAGCGCGGCCAGGGUCGGGUGGAACGUGGCCAGAGCCAGGGCCAGGUCCUCGCGGCCCGGGAACUCCUUCUUGACCGCCGGCAUGGCGCCCCGGUGGCUCCGCAGCCCCGCUCUCCGCCGGCGGCAGCAACUUAUUCCGGCCCGGGCUGGAGUUGGGUCGCGGGGGCCGGGGAGGCGCCUGGCCGCGCGCCCACGCCGUCCGCUAGUGCGCCCCGGCGCCCGCAGCCGCCGCCUACGCGCCGCCCGCCAGGCCUCCCCGGACUGCCCAGCCGGCCGGCGGGGCCUCAGAGGCCGGAGACAUGGAGCUGCUAUCGAUCCCGGAUCGACUCGCCGAGCGCCGCAGUUCCAGGGCCUCGGGGCUCCCCGGGGCGUCUGGAGUCCCGCGCCCCGGCCACCAGCGCCCGCGCCCGGGGCAGUCCCACGCCCGGCUCGCCGACCCACCCGCCAGGCCGAGCCCGGCAGCGAGGAGUCGCGGAGUCCCCGCCCCUCUCGGGGGUCCCAAGCCCCCGCCCCGCCGCCCGGGCCGCGUCAGUCGUGCACCCGCGUCCACUGGCGCGCGCCCGCCCGGCGGGGACUUGGGAGACUCCGCCGCCGACGCCGCCGCCACAACUUGGCCCAUUUAAACGGCCCCGGCGCGGCGGGCGGCGCGGGCUCCCGCGGGGGGUGCGUGACGGCCGACUCGGGGCAUCCGGCGGCGGCAGCGGGACAGGGCUGCGGCCCCCGGCACUAUCCCGAGUACCGAGUCACUGCGAGCGGCUGGAAUCCAGGACUCCGCGCGGGACUGGGAUGGGCUGGGCUGGUCGCGGACCGGGCUCCUCUCGGAGGGAGGGAGCUGGGGGCUGCUCGCCGGGGUGUGAGCGUGCGCCGGCGGCUCUGGGACUUUGCGCAGCGAAUCUGAUGGAGUGAGUUCGCCCGAGCCACGGAGUUCCUGUUCAGUCUUUUGCAGAAGACGCUGAGACAGAAAGGUCAAGUAACUCUCCUGAAGUCACACAGCUGUUUCAAAUGCAGGAUGUCUCACACCAGGACCGCGCCAGGACCAUGGUGUGGGGCAAGAGCUUCCUGUCACCCCACACCUCCCAGCAGGAAGGUCAGUCUGGGCCCCAGUCCCUGGUUCCUGGUGAGCUUCCCAUCACCCCCCACCUCCCUGCGUGCCCAGAUCGGCAUUGCAUCUGGAGCGUUCCGAAGAGAAACACAACCUGGGGGCGUUGGUAACAGCAGGUGAGACAGCCUUGUCCUGCGCUGCUGUGCGGUGUUGCAUCCACUAGAAAGGGGCCUCCUGUUCUGACCCUGGCCCCUGCCCUUGAGAUGCAGCUGGCAUGUCCCUGUGGGCAUCUCCCAGAGCAGGUCCAGGGGUGAGUGGGCCACAGGCCUGUUUGCACAGGUGCCUUCUUCGAGGGAGGGAACAGCCCACCACCACCUCCUGCCAGACCAGCUUCCUUGAGCAUAAACCUGACCCUGGGUGACCACGCUGGGCUCCUUCACCUUAUCUCACCAGAGGCUUCUGCUGGUCCCACAGCCAACCCGCGGAGUGAGGUCUGGGCCAGGAGUGCUCUGCUCAGGACACCAGCACAUCCCUGACCCCAGCUGUGGCUGCCAGUGAGUUCCUGUGCCUUCCUCUCCUGAAGUCUGUGUCUUCUCCCAGGUCUGAUACCAUGUGGAAAGUCUGCUCCUGGGGCCAGCUGGAGGCCAUGUGGACUGGCCCUGAGUGCCCACUGUCUGGAUGCAGCCCUGACCCUACUGCCCGUGUGUGGGCUACUAGGUUCACCUGCACCUGACCCUCCUUCUAGGUUCGCCUGCACCUGACUCCCUGAUGUUCACACAGUGAUUUGGAGAGGGAGGCUGGGGAGGCGCAGGUCUGCAUGGCAGUGCCUCUCAGGGUCUGAGGCCCUUGGGCCAGGCCUCUCCUCUGACCUGGGCCAGCAGAGGGGCCUCCUUUCCCUUCCAAGAGCCCUCCCCUGUUCACCAGCAUCUCAUCAUGCUCAGGCCCACAGUGUGGUUAAGGAGGGGCAUGGGGCUGGCCCUGGGUUUCUGGCUGGGUGUGGGGGCCUACCCGGGGCCCAUGGUGUCUUCCAGAAAAGACCCUGACUGGGUCCAAAGCUGGAGGCACCCCUCUAUCCUCACUGUCCACUCCCUGAUGUUCUGGAGGUCCCUCCAGGGGCUGGGUGAGGAGGCCUUCCCCACCACCUCCUUGUCUUCCUGGGAAGCAGGCACCCGUUCAGAGGCCACGUUCCCACAGGACCAGGCUCCUCACCCCCAGCAUCACCCUUUUCCACGGGGUUGUGCCCCUUCCUUGGUCCUGUCCACUCACACACACCCGUGUCCGUGUCCAUGUUCACACCUGUUCUGUGUCCACUCCCACACACCUGUGUCCACUCCCACACCUGUGUCUCGUGUCCACUCGCUCACACCUGUACUGUCCGUGCCCACUCACACGUGUCCCGUGUCCACUCGCUCACACCCGUGUCUCAUGCCCGCUGGCUUACACCAGUCCCGUGUUCACUGGCGCACCUGUGUCCCAUGUCUUGUGUCUGCUCGCACAUCUGUGUGAUGUGUUCACUUGCUCACACGUGUCCUCCACUACCACACCUGUGUCCCAUGUCCACUCACACACCUGUCUUGGUCUGGGACACCUGGGCCCCACUCUCCCCUGCACUCCUCAGGCUGGCGGCAGAGGCCAGAGGAACGGAGUUCUGGCGCUGGAAUCAUCCUGAGCGAGGCAGGGACCUGGCGGUGUGGACUCCACCGCCCCUCCUCCGGCCCACCGAGCCCCGCCUGCCUGGGCCUUGGUGCCUCUGUCGCUGCUCCGGGUCCCCCUGCUGGGGCCCCUCCGCCGCUGGGCUGAGGCUGGAGCCUGCCUCCCGCCGCCAGAGGGAGGAGGUCAUAAAUAACCCUGGGGCUGCCAUGGAGCAGACGGUGACCCCAGACGUCCUGGGGGAGUGUGGGGGCGCCAGGGGCCGCUGCCCCAGCCCGCAUGCCGCCUCCGCCAUCCGGGAGUGCCUGCCCAGGCUCCCCAGCAUUUCUCUUAGAGCCCUUCUCAUCCAUCCCCUCAUCAAUCAAUCAACCAUUUAUUGAGCCCAGAUGUGGUACAGCCCCAGCCGGAGAUGACCCAGAGGUGGGGUGGGGAGGAGAGAGAUGGGGAAGCUGAGUCCGGGGCCACAGGUGCAGCCAGGAGGUGCAGGUGAGCAGCGCUCAGACCAGCCUGUCAGCCUCAGUCCUGAGCUUACUUCUGGUGAUGGAGGGAGAUAUACAGAAAAGAUCCUGCAGCCUGCAGGUGUGGCACAGCUGAUCUUGGGCCAAGGAUGCACAGCUGUGUGUGUGCCUGGCCACCGGCAAGGGCACGUGGGCUCAGAAGCACAGGUGUGCCCACACCCUGCGUGCCUGUGUGUGGCGCAGCAGCUCCCGACGCGCGCAGGACACACACACAGCACAGACAGACCCUCCCAUGGCCACACGGACAAAGAUGGCUUCACUAUAGACACCGGUGCAGACAGGAUGUGCACUGCUUUCCAAGGCCUGUGCGCAACACAGACUCAGGGCCUGUGGGCAUCAGCACCGCCCAGACCCAGGCACACGUGAUCCUCAGCCAAGGUGGCCUGUCCAGUCCUGGUGCUGUUGGAUGGAAAGGCUAACCUGGGAGGUCAGGGGCUGUGGUAUAUCAGCUGGGCUCCCUCGGACGCUCCUGCAGAAGUGGCCAGGACCUCAGGAACGCACCUGCUCCUGGUCAGACAGGAGGGGCUGCCGUGAUGCAACUUGCCCGUGCCUUUGGGUGCUGUGAGCUGGCUGCGUGCCACGUCGUUUCGAGGACGCAAGAAGGUGUUUCCAAGUCCAGUCUGUCCACCGACCUGAACCUUUACCAUUGAAAGAACAAAGGGGUGGGGCCCGAGGGACCCUUCCCUGCCGUCCCGUGGUGUGUAGUCAGGGAUGCUCCUGCAGACACACAGGUGGGCUCUGACUGCCAGAUCGCAGGGGCGGUGCCGUGGUCCUCACCUGCCAUGUCACUAGCGUGCUGACGCAGACACCGGCGAGAGCUACAGUGCUCGGCCCGGCACAUCCCAGACAAUUCCUCUGUAAAUGCUGCAGCAGCCAGAGGCCCCAGCACCUUGAGGUUAAGCAAAGAGAAGGAAUAGAGUUCUCCAGAGCCCCAAGGAGCGGGAGGGUCUGUCCCAAUGGAUGGGCUCAGCCAAUUUCACCCUCUCCUCCCCCUGCCAACACUGCGGCCUGCAGCCUGGACCUGGCCCGGGUUGUGGAGGGGACCGGGGAUGCAGCUGCCACCUGCUGGGCGGACGUGGGCCUAGGUGGUCCUCAGCCCUCAUGACAGGAGCCCCCGAAGCACUGUUGCGGCACCCUCUCUGACAUUGGGUGGGAGACUCUGGGAGCCGAGUGCAGAGCCAGGGCCCAGCACGAAGGCCUUGGGCUCCAGUCCGUGUGCCCCACAUCCCUACAUGAGUGAGGGUGGAGGGAUGGUGCCUCUGCCACGGCCACGGUGCCGCCGUCCACGUCAGCUCACUCUCAGCACAGGUGCUGUGUGACGGCCUCGGGCCACACCGCUUGUUCUGAGGCCCCUAGCAGGUCGGGCUUGUGCUGGCUGCACAUUGGCUGGUGAGCUUGGCGGGUCUGUGGGCACGGAGAGACCAGAACGUGCGUAACAGGCCCGAUGAGGGUGCCAGGCUGUGGCGACCCCCGAGCUUCAGAGGAGAGGGGCACCAGCCGGGGGCCCUGCACAGGCAGCCUCAGGUGCGAGGAGCUGGAGCCCAGGCCAGCUGGGGAGGGGUGGGGUGCCGUGGCUGGAAGUUGCUGUUCUCAGACCUGGUUCUGAGACCCUCUCCAACUGCAUGGGGGGGUCCAGGCUGGACCCCAGAUGUGACGGUGUAUGUGCUGGGAUGGGAGCCCCCUGAGAGCAGGGCUUUUGUUAAUUCACCGGCAAUCCCACAUGUCUGGCACGAGAUAGGUGCUCAGUCAGUGAAAACCACACACGGGGUCCUCCAUUGUGUCCAGGGGAGGGUGGGCCCUGCUCACAGCCAGACUCCUAGCCCUGGGCAGCCCUGCUGCCUGCCUGCUCCUUCCACUCCUACCACCUGCCCAGGUGGGACUCUGCCUGCCUUCCUGUCCCCAGUGCUCUGUAGGAGUUUGACCACAGGUAUCCUCUUCAUCAGAGAGAGGAAAGCUCACGAUCUGGGAGAACUCCAGGCCUGGCCCAGUGAAGACGUCCUUAUCUUCAGCAGACAUUGCCCAGUGCAAGGGGAGGUCAGUCUCAGGAGACAGUCUCCUGGACAGUGGCGUGGCAUCUGUCCUAAGGCCUUGCCUGCAGCACAGGGUGCCACAGAGGUCCCCUGUGACAGAGCCUCAUGGCUGGGGCAGGCGGGGGUCGCACCUGCUCCUGCAUGAAGAGGCAGAUAAAGACCCACAGCAUGGUCUCUGGGGUCCCACAUCCCAGGUAGAGAAUGACCCAGGUCGCUGGCGUCUGUGCCAUCUCUGCUCCACUGACCACUCAUGGGGGUCCUGGAGAUCCUGACACCGGUGGCCGGGGAGCAGCAGCCCAGGCACAGGCCCCAGUGCACAUGCAGAUCCCACCGUGUCUGCACAAGGCCUUGCCCCAACGAGGCCUGGGUGCCGUGUGAGGGCCGGGACGCUAACACAGCGGAGGGUACCCACGCGUGAGCUGCUCUGGGGUCCCUCCCCGUGUUUCUUCCUGUAAUGAAACUUGUACCCAAAUGGGAUAUGCAGGGUUGCACUGUGCAGUCGCUGUGUGUUUUAGGGUCUCAUACCCGUGUGCGCCAGCAGGACCACAGCUGUGACCGGCUGCUCCAGAAGAAGUGGGUGGGUUGAGACCCCACCGGCAGGGUCACUGGGGGUAGCAGGCCCUCUGUCAGCACUGACUUCUGUAUCAUGUCAGGGAUUUUUAGGGCGGCAAGCUCAGGUGGACAGGCAGUUUUAUUCUGUUUCCCAUGUCAAGUCCAGCCCCAGACUGACUUUCUGAGGUCACAGACGGAGCCUCACCCCAUCCAAGGCGGUGUCCUGGACUCCCACUGUGCUCCCCAGAGGGCAGGGUGAGUGCGUGGCAUCCUUUUGGCGGGCGUGGGUGCCUCUGUGGACCUGGCGUGAGGCUUCUCUGUUUCUGAGUCUCCUAUGGACCAUCUGUCUUCUGUGUGGCUGCUGAGGAAUCACACUGGGGUGGCCGUGCCGGUGGCUGAAUGAGAACAGGACCCCCAUGCUGCACAGCCCUGCUUAACGCGGGGGUGGCCCCAGAAGCGGGUGGGCGAGGCUGGGCAGCAGGGAUUGGCUGAAAUCAUAUGCAGAGCCCAAGAGGCAGGGGAAAGGCGGCAAUUUCAGGGUCCCUUUGUUCGCCAGGUACCUGGGGCCCAGCCCGGGCGGCAGGAGGGACUCAGCCCCUCGCCCAGGCAGGAAGGGUCCCAAGCAGAGGCCCCUCCCUCAGGCACUCCCCAGCCCACACCUGCAGCACUGGGACCAAGACUAAUAAAACACCAGCCUCACGGAAGACAGCUUUAUCUUGUUGAUCGGAAGUCUGCCAGCCCAAUUUAUGAUGGAACAUAAGAUCUCUAAAUCUGAAUUUACGCUCUGUAGCGUAACGAGAGGUCAAUAAGAUUAAACGGGGGCUCAGGAGAGGACCAGCGUCAGGCUCACUGCGAGGUGCUGCACAGAAAACCCACAGCCAGAGCCCCUGGGCCCAGCCCAGGCAAGACCAGAAAAGGAGGGGGCAGGUGGGAGACCAGCCUGGGGCUCCCGGGAAGCCCACGGGAUGGAGGCGGGAGAGCCAGGAGGCCUGGGGCAACCCUGGGACGGUUCCUGGAUCGAGGAGAGCAGGGGGGUGAUGAGGGUUCCCUCAGGGCUGGGGAGCCUUCUCCUGGUCUCAGACCCACCCCCCUUCAGCUCCCAAGCCCUGGGUGCCCCUGGCUCUGAGGACAGUUGGGAAUCUUCCCUGAGGCAGGUUCAAGGACAGAGCUCUGACCCUGGCCCAGGGCUGCUUUGGGUGCCUAUGAACUCGGCUUCUGGCUCAGAGCAGUUCCCUGCACCCCUUCCUGAGCCCUCUGUCCUCUGGAACCCGUGGGCAGGGUGAGGGACGGGUGUUCCUUCUGGGUGGGGGCCUGGGCGCCCAGCCAGCACGACGCUGGCUUGCUGAGCUUAGGGCAGACCCCGACUUCAGAAUUUAUACAAAUAAAUGCAAUGAAAAGUGCUGGCAACCUGAUCUGAUUACAGAGUCAUUCAUUCUCUGGUCGUUAAUAAUUUGUGCAAUAAAGGACUGCAGCCGCUCAGUGCGGGGGAGGCUGUGGCCCAACCUUCCCUCGGCGCCGGCCCCGGGAGCUGGAAGCAUAAAUUAUUAGUUUCUUAUCGCUGGGCCUGCCAUCGCUCAUGCUGCCAGGGCCUGGCGGGAGCUGGUGGCUGUUCUGCUGCCCGCCCUGGCCGGCUCAGGGCCGGCUCUCAGCCGUCGCCUGGGGCCCUUUGUCACCCCCACCCUGGCCCCCCAGGUGUGGGAGCCCCAGAGCCUGCUCAGGCCUGGAGGCUGCUGCUGGAGCCGGCAACUCUGGAAGCCAGAAAGGUGGGGCUUUAGUGCCUGUCCUCAGACCCUCAGGUAACCAAAGCCAAAUUACUCCCUGUUGGAAACACAACCUCACAUACCGGGCCACAGCACGGACACCCACGACAGCAGGCCACAGCACGGACACCCACGGCAGUGGCCCACAGCACGGACACUCACAGCAUGGACAGCAGCCCAGAGGGACCCUUGCCCAGACCCUGACCAGGGGGAAGAGACAGUUGUGUCUGGGUUUGUCAGUCCUCUGGUUGUGGCAGGGCCCCUCUGGGUGGGACUCGGCACCUGUACCUGGGAGCACCUGCUCAGAUGAGGGAGUGGGAGCAGGAACAGCGCUCAUGCUCUCUCCCUGUGUCCAGGGCUGGGGCCCUGGUCUGGCGGGUAGGCAUAGGGCACCUCCUGCCCUCUCAUGCCCUCAUACACCUGCUGCUGGGGUUCCCUGUCCCACCCCAAAAGGGAGAAGCCAAGGCUGAGGCAAGGUUGGAAAAUCAGGGUGGGGACUCUGGAAUCCAGACAUCCCGACAGAGGAUGCAGGAGGAAUCGGCGUGAGCGCAGGGUAAACUCACGGACCCGAACUCUCAGAUGUGCUUCCUGGGCUCAGCUUCCCCUUUCUGGAGGGCUGGGGGUUCCAGAACCUUGCCUUGAAUUUGUGAGGAUGGUGGGACCUGGAGGGCAGGUGGCGCAGAUGGUGUGAGCCCUCACCCCAGGACGCUGUGCCCACUUCUGGCUGUGCAGCCUUGGGAAGGCUUCUGACUUCUCUGAACCUCAAUCUGUAAAAUGGGAAUGAGAAUGAAACAAGAUGAAAUUAACAUGCAUUGAGCGUGUGGGGUGGGGCAGAGACAGCCACCUUGCAGCUGGUGAGGCCCUUACAGCAUCUGGUCCUGCCACCUCGCAGCUGGUGAGGCCCUCACAGCAUCUGGUCCCGGAGCCCACACAGCCCUUUGCAGAGACUGCCCUACCCACGUGCAAGCGUUUCGCCCUCUUCCCACGGGCGACCCCAGCUUGGCCGCAUGCGUUUUUGCUCAGAACGUCCCCACCUAUGUCCCACCUGCCCUCUGGCUUCGGGAGUGCUGGGCGCAGUGGUGGCAGGUGCCUCGGUGCCCUUGGACUUGCCCGGUCGUCUGUUGCUUCUGAGGCGGCCCCGUUGAUGGGUGCUCCUUCUCUUCUGGGUGCAUUUUCCUUUUCCUGCUUCCUCGCAUGCCUGGUGAUUUUUGAAUGGGUGACAGGGAUUGUGAAUUUUGCUGGGUGCUGACUAUUUUUGUAGCAAAGCUGAGAAAAGCUUACUUUGCUCAGGACUCCAGGAAGUUACUUGGAAGCUGUUUGGUCCUUUGGGGUCUUGCUUUUAAGCCCUGCUGGGAGGACCAAGGCAGCUUGUAGUCUGGGGCUGACUGUGCCCUCCUUUACCAGGGCACGGCCCUGCUUGGUGCUCUGCCCAGGGGCUGAGGUGCCCCAGCCUGGCUGGUGGACCACGGACCUUCCACGGUUCCCUCUGGUGAUCUCGGGUGGUUCUCCUCACCUUCUGUAGUUGCCUUUCUUUUUUUCUUUUUCUUUCUUCUUUUUUUUUUUUUUUUGAGACGGAGUUUUACUCUUGUUGCCCAGGCUGGGGUGCAGUGGUGCGAUCUUGGCUCUCCA
rnacentral:lncRNA from 1 species